rnacentral:rRNA from 1 species
GAUGAACGCUGGCGGCGUGCCUAAUACAUGCAAGUCGAGCGAACGGACGAGAAGCUUGCUUCUCUGAUGUUAGCGGCGGACGGGUGAGUAACACGUGGAUUACCUACCUAUAAGACUGGGAUAACUUCGGGAAACCGUAGCUAAUACCGGAUAAUAUUUUGAACCGCAUGGUUCAAAAGUGAAAGACGGUCUUGCUGUCACUUAUAGAUGGAUCCGCGCUGCAUUAGCUAGUUGGUAAGGUAACGGCUUACCAAGGCAACGAUGCAUAGCCGACCUGAGAGGGAGAUCGGCCACACUGGAACUGAGACACGGUCCCGACUCCUACGGGAGGCAGCAGUAGGGAAUCUUCCGCGAUGGGCGAAAGCCUGACGGAGCAACGCCGCGUGAGUGAUGAAGGUCUUCGGAUCGUAAAACGCUGUUAGUAGGGAAGAACAUAUGUGUAAGUAACUGUGCACAUCUUGACGGUACCUAAUCAGAAAGCCACGGCUAACUACGUG